rnacentral:sRNA from 2 species
CAAAAGCUGUACCAAACACGAUGCCUCACUCCCCAGUAAGUGGUAGGGACUCCUCCCGCAAGGCGUUCGACUUGGUCUAGGGUUCGCGGAGGCCAGUCCGGCACGCCUCGCGAUACGGUCCACCCAGAACCAGACGCGUGGUUGACCCCUUUUGUCCUGCUUAAUCUGUAUGCAAGCCAUAUGAAAUGGCUAGCGAGGUUCGAGAACCGAGAGAUACCCUGACAAAGGGCUGGAAGUGGUUUGGGUGAAGCCUUACUAGAGCCCACGGAUCCGCAGUGAUAGCCCGCAAGAGAGCUCCAAGUCUUAUUCUCUGACUACCGCGUUUCAAGUUUGUGCGUUUAUGCCAUAUACUUACGUCUGCAGGGUCAGGUACAAUCAGUUGCAUUGCUGACACUUUGUCUGUGUGACCUUUUCUUGCGUUUCCUCUUUCCUUCUCAGUUGCCGUGACCUCUGUAGCGGCUAGCAGCAAUCUCUGCAUCGCUGAAGAAGACGUUGCUUCGGUAUAUAGCCAUCUUGUUCAAAAUGUCCAAAGAGAUUACGCUACAAAGCCAGCUCUCUGUCUGGAAAACAGCGAAGAACUAGUGAUCAAAAACUAAACUAAUUACUGAUAUAGACCUCCCAUCGUCAUCGUGCCAACGUCACCAACCUCUCACCCUCCGCUAGAUUUCACAUGUGCGGAUUUUGGGUGGUUUUAAUAAGCUGUGGUGGUGCUGAGGAGGGAGAAAUGGGUCAAGUUGGUUUCAGACUCUAACUGCAUGAGUUGGUUAUAUAUACAACUAGGUAGCUCAUGAUGCUAUUGAGAGCAUUCAUUUAACAUGA